rnacentral:rRNA from 1 species
GAUGAACGCUAGCGAUAGGCUUAACACAUGCAAGUCGAGGGGCAGCAUGGUCUUAGCUUGCUAAGACUGAUGGCGACCGGCGCACGGGUGCGUAACGCGUAUGCAACUUGCCUCACAGAGGGGGAUAACCCGUCGAAAGACGGACUAAUACCGCGUACACUUGGGAUAGGGCAUCCUGACCCAAGGAAAUGAAAUUCGCUGUGAGAUAGGCAUGCGUCCCAUUAGCUAGUUGGUGAGGUAACGGCUCACCAAGGCGACGAUGGGUAGGGGAACUGAGAGGUUGAACCCCCACACUGGUACUGAGACACGGACCAGACUCCUACGGGAGGCAGCAGUGAGGAAUAGUGGUCAAUGGGCGAGAGCCUGAACCAGCCAAGUCGCGUGAAGGAUGACUGUCUUAUGGAUGGUAAACUUCUUUUAUACGGGAAUAACAAGAGUCACGUGUGGCUCCCUGCAUGUACCGUAUGAAUAAGCAUCGGCUAACUCCGUG